UAUGUUUUACUCAAGGUAGACCCAUUGGGUAGUAUUAAAAUAUGUUUUAUUCAGAAUAGACCCACUGAAAUGAAUGGGCCUAACUUAGUCAUGUCCAUUAAUUUCAGUGGGUCUGCUCUGAGUAAAACUUAGUUUAAUAUCACCCAGUAGGUCUGCCUUGAGUAAAAGUUGA